GUCGUGGUGGCUAAGUGGUAAAGCAACUGGCUUCUGAGCUGAGAGUCUCAGGUUCAAAUCCUGGUGAUAACU
rnacentral:tRNA from 1 species